rnacentral:lncRNA from 1 species
GGAUUAGAGAGAGGAGCUUCAUGCUUCGGGUCGGGGAAGGAAAGACACAGAAUUUGGAUUUUUCUUCUUCGUAGAGUUUUGGGAAGGCUGAGGCAAUCGCUGCUGAAGUCAGUAUUGUAAUGGUGAAUCGGAAUUUUUAAUGAAGUGGGUUUGAAUACUCUUGACUGUUUUGUAAAAUCGAGUUACGUCUGUGAUUGAAGGAUUAAAAGGGCGUCUAUAGGAUUGAGUAUGCGGAGUGAAUGAAAUUUAUUGG